CAAGAUUUCGAGUCCAUUCUGGCUACCUCGAUGUGUUAUCAGAGUCUAUCUACAGUACAACCGCAUUACUUCAGUGACUAAUUUCUUUCAAAGAAAUUUGUUCGAUUUGUCCGAAUAUAAAAUACAAGAAUUACAAUUGUCUCAAAAUAGAAUUCACACAAUCAAGUCUGGUGACUUGUCCAAUUUGCUACACUUGCG